rnacentral:rRNA from 1 species
GACGAACGCUGGCGGCGUGCUUAACACAUGCAAGUCGAACGGAAAGGCCCUGCUUUUGUGGGGUGCUCGAGUGGCGAACGGGUGAGUAACACGUGAGUAACCUGCCCUUGACUUUGGGAUAACUUCAGGAAACUGGGGCUAAUACCGGAUAGGAGCUCCUGCUGCAUGGUGGGGGUUGGAAAGUUUCGGCGGUUGGGGAUGGACUUGCGGCUUAUCAGCUUGUUGGUGGGGUAGUGGCUUACCAAGGCUUUGACGGGUAGCCGGCCUGAGAGGGUGACCGGCCACAUUGGGACUGAGAUACGGCCCAGACUCCUACGGGAGGCAGCAGUGGGGAAUAUUGCACAAUGGGCGGAAGCCUGAUGCAGCAACGCCGCGUGCGGGAUGACGGCCUUCGGGGUGUAAACCGCUUUCGCCUGUGACGAAGCGUGAGUGACGGUAAUGGGUAAAGAAGCACCGGCUAACUACGUG